AACUAAGUUUGUUCUUGGUAUAAGCUUUCAUGUGCAUGCACACUUCUUCAGAUACUUCUUCAGAUAUCUGAAGAAGUGUGCAUGCACACGAAAGCUUAUACCAAGAACAAGCUUAGUUG